rnacentral:rRNA from 1 species
AACGAACGCUGGCGGCAGGCCUAACACAUGCAAGUCGAACGCCCCGCAAGGGGAGUGGCGCACGGGUGAGUAACGCGUGGGAAUAUGCCCUUCGGUUCGGAAUAACACAGGGAAACUUGUGCUAAUACCGGAUACGAUCUACGGAUGAAAGAUUUAUCGCCGAGGGAGUAGCCCGCGUAGGAUUAGCUAGUUGGUGAGGUAAUGGCUCAACAAGGCGACGAUCCUUAGCUGGUCUGAGGGGAUGAUCAGCCACACUGGGACUGAGACACGGCCCAGACUCCUACGGGAGGCAGCAGUGGGGAAUAUGGGACAAGGGGCGAAAGCCUGAUCCAACCAUGCCGCGUGAGUGAUGAAGGCCUUAGGGUUGUAAAGCUCUUUCGCCAGGGAAGAUAAUGACGGUACCUGGAAAAGAAGCCUCGGCUAACUCCGUGCCAGCCGCCGCGGUAA